rnacentral:rRNA from 1 species
UGGAGCUUGCGGCUUAAUUUGACUCAACACGGGAAAUCUCACCAGGCCCGGACACCGGCAGGAUUGACAGAAUGAGAGCUCUUUCUCGAUUCGGUGGGUGGUGGUGCAUGGCCGUUCUUAGUUGGUGGAGUGAUUUGUCUGGUUAAUUCCGAUAACGAACGAGACUCCGUCCUGCUAACUAGUUGCGAGGUCAAGCUUUGCCUCGCAAAUUCUUCUUAGAGGGACUGACAGCAUCUAGCUGUACGAGAUGGAGCAAUAACAGGUCUGUGAUGCCCUUAGAUGUCCUGGGCUGCACGCGUGUUACACUGAAGGGAUCAGCGUGUUUUCCCUGACCGAGAGGUCCGGGUAACCCGCUGAACCCCCUUCGUGGUAGGGACCGGAGCUUGCAAUUAUUCUCCGUGAACCAGGAAUGCCCAGUAAGCGCAAGUCAUAAGCUUGCGUUGAUUACGUCCCUGCCCUUUGUACACACCGCCCGUCGCUACUACCGAUUGAACGUUUUAGUGAGGUAUUUGGACUGGGCCUCUGGUGGUUCGCGCCUCCAGUGUUGCCUGGGAAGACUCCCAAACUUGAGCGUUUAGAGGAAGUAAAAGUCGUAACAA